rnacentral:rRNA from 1 species
GGAUUAGAUACCCUGGUAGUCCACACCGUAAACGCUGUCUACUAGCUGUUUGUGUAUUUAAUACGUGAGUAGCGAAGCUAACGCGCUAAGUAGACCGCCUGGGGAGUACGGCCGCAAGGUUAAAACUCAAAUGAAUUGACGGGGGCCCGCACAAGCGGUGGAGCAUGUGGUUUAAUUCGAUGCAACGCGAAGAACCUUACCUACACUUGACAUCCAGAGAACUUACCAGAGAUGGUUUGGUGCCUUCGGGAACUCUGAGACAGGUGCUGCAUGGCUGUCGUCAGCUCGUGCCG